GGUGGGGCCUUUGGCAGAGUCCUCAUGAGUGGGAUUGUGCACUUAUAAGAGAGACCUGUGCUAGCUCCCCUACCCUUUCUGAUGUGUAAGAGGGACAGUGAGAAGAUGGCUGUCUAUGACCCAGGAAGGGACUCUCAGCAGACAAUAAAUCUGCUGUCACCAUAAUAUCCCAGCUUCCAGAACUGCAAGAAGUAUAUUUCUGUUGUUUAAAAGUCACCCAGUUUAUGGCAUUCUGUUAUUGCAGCUUAAAGGAAUUCAGUACCAUAUAGGGAAUAAAUGAAAAGAUUUCAGAAGUUCAGGCUAAUCAAUUUCCAACUCUGAGACCAGAGCGCUAUAGGUAAUCUAGAGACAAGAGAAAUUUGGAGACUACUGACUUUUCACAGAAGGUAAGCUCCAAAUUCUCUAGCACAGGUGUUUCUGUAGCCAUGACAUCUUUGUGUGCAUGUUCAGUGACCCUAAACACCCUCCCUGUCACUGUGCGUUCAUAUGUUGGGUUUUAAUACAAAGCCGAGUGGUAUUUUGGCUGCAAUAAAAAUUAUUUGUACUGUGAUUUUUUUUUUACUGUUAUGACACACAAGUCAUUAUCCUUCAGGUAAAUUGCCUACUGUUCUUAAUCAUGGUUGACAAAUUAUUUUACCGUUCAAGAACAAUGAACUUUUCCUGAAUAUACCGCUAAGAAUAUGUUCUCUUAUUCAAGGUUCAUCUGAUUAUACCUAAUUCUAGCUCAAGAAGAGGAGAAUUCUUAAAAUAAGAGGAAAAAAAAUAAAGAAUCUGACACACAAUUGCAUAUAAGAACCGAAGUGUAACCCUGGCUUCAAAGGAACAAAACCAAAGAACUACAAAAGCAAGAAUCUGGUCUUCUCUUCCUUUCAGACCUCAUGUGGCCUUUCACACUGCAAAUGGUUUCUAUCUGGGCUAUAUUAAGAUGGUUUUUUCCCCUCUGUCUCCUAGCUAACUGUCUCUAUAAAUUCAGUCUGCACACAACUUAAGCCUGAGAUUGCUGCUUGGUUAUAACGGCAGCAUCCACAACCCAUUUCAACAGUUUGCUGGUUUCCCAACACAAAAUUUCCCCCAAGAGGAAUCUGACUGCUACGUAAGUUGUAGAACACACAGUAGUUUAUGGAGGACCAGUCCUAGGACCAAGUUUCCUCCUUACAUCUAAUCAGUCAUGACCCAGGGGAAGGAACAGAACCUGGGUAACCCCACUUAGGAGGGGCUCUGGGUGAGAACAGCUUUCCUCAAGGAGUGGGUGGAAGCAGGGCUGUGCAGGGGCCCAAGAGUGCAUACAGCAGGAGUCAGCAAACUUCUCCUAAGAGCCAAAUAGCAAGGAUUUCAGAUACUUUUAGCCACACUGCACACGGUCUCUGUAGGACGACUAAUUUCUACUAUUUGGGGUACAAAAGUAAUCACAAGCAACAUGCAAAGAAAUGAGCAAGACUGUGUUCCAAUAAAACUUUAUUUUAAAGAAAUGGUAGCAACUGGAUCUGGUUCACAGACCAGCUACUAAGAAUUAGUAGGAGGAUUCAUAUGGGGAUAUUUGAGCAAAUAGUCAAGAACAUCAAAAACCAUUCUUUCAAACAAAAACUUUCCUUAUAAAGAUAUCAUGUGCCCCAAGUAAAAUAUUAAAAUGUGUUCAAGUAAGAAAAUAAAUAUAUUUGAUCUAGCCAAUCAGAAAAUAAAACAUAGCUCAAGGUCGGCUCUUUUUUCUAUAUUUUUAGAGUAAUUGGAAUUAUGGAUAAUGCUUUAGUUGCUGCUGUCGCCGCAUAGCACAGACACACAAAAAAAUCAUAGACAUUGUCUCUUGUCACUUAAUAUUAUACAA
rnacentral:lncRNA from 1 species